UACGAAGGGGGCUAGCGUUGCUCGGAAUCACUGGGUUUAAAGGGUGCGUAGGUGGGUCUGUAAGUCAGUGGUGAAAUCUCCGAGCUUAACUUGGAAACUGCCAUUGAUACUAUGGAUCUUGAAUAUUGUGGAGGUCAGCGGAAUAUGUCAUGUAGCGGUGAAAUGCUUAGAUAUGACAUAGAACACCAAUUGCGAAGGCAGCUGGCUACACAUAUAUUGACACUGAGGCACGAAAGCGUGGGGAUCAAACAGG
rnacentral:rRNA from 1 species